UAAUUUAUCACAAUGGCAUUGGCAACAAAAAAUUUCCAGAUCCAGAGGCAAAAACAAUAUCAGUUUAGAGGUUAAGUUUAAGUUAUAAAUUUAUAAUAUUAAAUUAUUACCGUGUUGCAAUUAAAUUGCAUUUACUGCAGAUUUACUUUAGGAAUGUAAAUAACAAUUUCUCAAGUAGAAAAGUGUUAAGCUGAAAUGGUACAAUCUUGUAUCACUAAAAUACUAGAUAAUGUAGCACAUGCUCUCUGACCUCUAGUUGAAACUUGCUGCUGGUUAAAACUGAUGUAUGGCUGGUGAAAAAUUUAUCAAGUAUCAGAAACGCAAAGUGCCAGUAAUAUCCGCCCCCUCAUCACUGUUGAGAAACUGAGAAAGCUUCCCAAAAGACGAAGUCAUUCCAAGACAAGAAAACAUAUCACAAAGUCCUCAUCGCAGUCUGCUCAUUGUGUGUGUUGGUUUUUAUACUGCAUUUAAGAAACAUUCUAAUAAAAAUAGCUAUAAUACCAUUGUUAUAAACGAUGACAUUGUACGAUCUGUUUAAUAAAACUGAAUCUAUUCUA